rnacentral:tRNA from 1 species
GGGGAUAUAGCUUAGUGGUAGAGUGCUUGCCUGGCAUACAUGAAGCCCUGAGUUCAAUUCCUCAGUACCA